rnacentral:rRNA from 1 species
CUGGCGGCGUGCCUAACACAUGCAAGUCGAACGAGAAAGUGGAGCAAUCCAUGAGUACAGUGGCGACCGGGUGAGUAACACGUGACCAACCUGCCCUCGAGUGGGGAAUAACUCCGGGAAACCGGAGCUAAUACCGCAUAACAUCGCAAGAUCAAAGCCGCAAGGCGCUUGGGGAGGGGGUCGCGGCUGAUUAGCUAGUUGGUAGGGUAAUGGCCUACCAAGGCGAAGAUCGGUAGCCGGCCUGAGAGGGCGCACGGCCACACUGGAACUGAAACACGGUCCAGACUCCUACGGGAGGCAGCAGUGGGGAAUUUUGCGCAAUGGGGGAAACCCUGACGCAGCAACGCCGCGUGGAGGAUGAAGUCCCUUGGGACGUAAACUCCUUUCGACCGGGACGACACUGACGGUACCGGAAGAAGAAGCACCGGCUAACUCUGUGCCAGCAGCCGCGGUAAUACAGAGGGUGCGAGCGUUGUUCGGAAUUAUUGGGCGUAAAGGGCGCGUAGGCGGCGCGGUAAGUCACCUGUGAAAUCUCCUGGCUCAACUGGGAGCUUGCAGGCGAAACUGCCGUGCUG